UACGAAGGGGGCGAGCGUUGUUCGGAUUUACUGGGCGUAAAGGGCGCGCAGGCGGCCUUAGUAGUCAGGCGUGAAAGCCCCGGGCUUAACCUGGGAAUUGCGCUUGAUACUCUGAGGCUUGAGUACGGGAGAGGAGAGUGGAAUUCCCAGUGUAGAGGUGAAAUUCGUAGAUAUUGGGAAGAACACCGGUGGCGAAGGCGGCUCUCUGGACCGUAACUGACGCUGAGGCGCGAAAGCGUGGGGAG
rnacentral:rRNA from 1 species